UCACUAAGCAAUAUUUUUGGCGGCUGUUUGUAAACUUUGCAUUCUAUUAAUUUAACGUUGUGUUGUUUGAUAAGGUUGGCGCUAUUUUGUUGAAUGAUUAGUUGACCGUUAGCUAACUUUCUAGAUAACGUUAGCUGCUAGCUAGAUUAGCUAACAACAAGUAAAAAAACAAAAACAAGAGUUAUUUCGUGAUCAUCAAAUAAUGCAGUGCUCUAAAAACGAAUUAACGAAACAUAUAGUUUUGUUACAGAAUGGAAGACUAUGAAAAGUUCAUACAACGCCGACUUUACGAACUGAAAAGGAAGGAUAGCAACGACAACAACAAGAACCAACGCCGGACACUGGAAUCACCAUGUACUCGCCACGUAUCAUCAGCUAUCCGUUUCCAUGGCAUACCCAUCCUUCCUCCAUUGCUCACAGGAGUGCAAAGAGAAGAGAUGCAGAGACACAGAGAGGCAGCCAAGAGGACGACAGAUAGGAAGAAGACUCAGCCCUCUGAGACGAGGAUGUCCUACGUUCAGAACAUUCUACACAGUGUUCAGCUGAGGCAAGCACCAACACUGGAGGAGUUCUUUCAGGGUGAACCAGGACUAACGGCAGCCAAAACCACCAACCUACACCACAGCAACGUCCGCCAGGUUCUAGUGUCGCAGAAUGAUGAUAUCACCGAGACCAAGGACAGCUUGCCGGGGUCGUCCUCCCAAACAACCUUAACCGUCAUGCAUGAUGGGAAAGCAGGCAUCCUCGUCCGAGGUCCUCCCAUGACGUCAACAGCCUACGGCGCCUUCACAACGAAUCACCUUACAACUCUCCAUAACACCACCACUGUGAGGGAGACCUUCCUAGAUAAGCUGGUCUGUGACCCAAUGACACCUUCUCUAGCUAGAGAGACAACCACACAUACCAACCAGGUUGCUCCACAAACAGAGACCCGGACCAGGGAGAGACUCUUGUAUGACCAGGAUAAGACCACCAAUGCUGGGUGUGUUCUGGAGGAGGACCUGGGUUCAGGAGAAGCAAUGGUGGAUCCUCUAGCUGACAUAAGCCACCAGUCUUCAGGGUACGUGACGUAUGAAAACGCGGAGGCCACCUGUGUCUUGAGUCGGACCGAGGCUGGGGAGAGCAUUAUAUCAGGGCCUGAGGAGGGGACACCAAUUGGAACGGGGGGGUUUCUCCUACACAGCACCUCCGAUACAAACACAACCAAGGCAUGUAAUAUCAUCAGCCAUCCUCCCAUUGAUGCUGAAGAUCUGGAGGAGGGGUCGUCCCCGUGUGACGAUGACCUCAUAACCGGUCGCCCUGCAGAUGAGGCGAGCGUGACGUCGUCCUGGUGUAAUGACGUCAUACCAGACUAUUUAGAGGAAGCGUUGGUGACGUCGCCUCUACAGAGCAACGAUAUCACACCUCCUGUAGAAGACCACAUAGCAAGUCAUCCAGGAAAGAAGUGUAGCACUACUAAUAUUGUCACUUUCCCCCAGCAUCAAGCCUCAUUAUCACUAUCAGACCGUCCUGAACCCAAGAUUGUAGUGACAUGUCCUCAGACUGAGGCCUCGACACCGGACCUCUGCAAACCAGAUCAGAACCAGGCGUCAGACUUAGACCUGGACCGACCGGAGGGACCAUACCGGCUCAGCCUCCAGACUCUUCUAAAGAAAUCCCAGGCAGCUUUGAAAUGCCCCAAACCAGGCAGGAACCAGCCAGAAUCAGAACCAAAGAUCCGGACUGGAGAUGUAGACUUGGACCCGGAAUCGGAACCAGUGGCAGGGCCGUACCGCCUCAGCCUCCAGACCCUGCUGAAAAAGUCCCAGGAGCACCGGAGACGCCAGCGUCAGCUGAAGAACCAGGCCAAGGCCUCUACUUGUCCUACCAGGACCCAGGAGGUCUUGACACACCAGAAGAUGGAGGAGAUCAGUUUCUCAGACAAGGAGAAUGAGGAGUUCCUCCAGUCAGGGAGAGUGGUGGCGGAGGGAAGGAAAACCUGGGACAGGGAUUGGAGAAAGGAUCAUCUGGGAAUGGGAGUCCAGUUUUCCGGACCGCCACCACUAGAGAUAUUCCCUAAGGAAGCGUGGGUUCAACGUGAGGAGGAGAAAGCGAGGUCUAGGAUUGUGGACAGAAUGGGACCCAACGAAAAAGGAUGUCAUGAAAGAAUAUUAAAGGAAUUGGAGGCUGGAAAUGGCCCUUCACAUUUGGUUGGUCUAGAAGGAGACACCCAAUCCCAAUCUCCUCCAGGAGUGGACAUUGAUGCUGGCUCGGCAGCCGAAGACAUCCAGCUACACCUCUCACCAGACGUCACAGCAGCACCGUCAAUGCUAAUGGAGAACCUUCCACAUCCUAUCUCAGCCGAUGCCUCCAUAACCCAGAAAUCAUUCUACCUAGUCAGGGAGAAGAGCUCUACCCUGCCGAGGCCUUCCUCUCUGGGGAGUAGUAGGUUCCAGAGCGUCCCUACCCCCCAGUUUAGUAUGAGCCCUAUCCGCUGUAAGAGUAAAGGAAACAGUGGGGGAGGAGGGCGUGGCACCCCCAAGAGGCAGAUCCUGGUAAACACACCUUUGAAUGUAGACCACGAGGUGGGGUCGGUGACUGGGCAGGAAAAUAAUGAUGCUCGGGACCAAACGCAUCUGCAUAGAGCGCCCCUAGUGGCUGGGGGUGGUACAAGACCUAUGCGUAGGAGCACAGACCAGGCAGAACAGAUAGCUCAGCUGGAGCUCAACUUGUCCUGCCUCAAAAUACUGAUCUCUGACCUGGAGUCCACGCUCACAGAGACACCAGAGAGCCACCAGACGCUCAACAACAGCCAGACUGAUAAUAUAGACCAACAACACAAAUACAUGGACUACCAUACACCUGACAGCCAGGCCUUACAGUCAGGGAACCAGACACACAACAACAGCCAGACUGAUAAUAGUAGUAACCUUACCAUGGACCCGCCACAUAAAUACAUGGACUACCAUACACCUGAGAGUCAGGCAGAGAGUGACCUUAGUGACAGUGAGAAAGGAAGAGGGGAUGGAGGUCAGAGGUCAGCUGAUAAGAUGGCGGUGGUCCCCUGUAGAGUCCAGUGGUGUGACAGCGUACCUUCAUUGGUCAAGGAGGUGGAGAUCACUGUUACAACGGGUUACAAAAGACAAGAUGGUCGCCAGCAGCAGUCUCUUGCAGCGCGCCACGUCACCUCCCUCACUCAGAAGAGGAGAGUUCCUGACGUGUUCCGGAAGGUUCCAUACGAUGUCAUCAAGGUUCUGUCGAAAGUCAUCAAGGUUCGGAAUGACGUCGUCAAGAUUCCGGCAUCACACAAAACACCUUUCUCCGUCCUCUCAGAUGCCAGUAACAACCAGCACCAGCCAAUGGAGUGGAAGAGUUAUCCGGAGGACCCCGCCCACUUCCAAUCCAUCAACCAAUCGUAUGACGUAGACACGCCCUCAGGGCUCUGGCUCCAGGGAGGGUCAGAGGGGUCGUUGAAAGGUCAUGACCCCACGGGGAAGCAGCUGACCCCUGAGAACGGAGGUGGGGGUCAGGGAGGGGCAUCAAGGGCCAAACGUAGACUGGUCAUGCACACGACAGAGGGGAACAGGGGACGAGGACGAAGAGAGGUGAUGGACAGGCCUCACUCCAUUACUCCUGAAGCUGUGGUGCGGUCACACAGUCAGGAGAACCAGCAGCCCCAGCUGAAGCAGACCCAUGCAGCCCAGGUCAGAGCCCUGAAGGAGGAGCAGAGGAGACAGCAGCAACAACUACUGCAGGUGUCUGUCUGUGUGUUAUGGCCCCCUGGUGGCAGCAGCAGUGAAGGGAUACCUAACCAGGAGGCUCCUACACACAGAGAGAGUGGGACAGCUGCUAUGUACCAUCAAGGACACGCAGCAGUUCCUGCAGUCCUUCCAGCUCCAGAGCCCUGGGAGAGACAGCAGGCAAGACCUGGUGCUGCAGGAGAGAGUCACACUGCAGCUCCGCUCAGCACGUUAUGAGGUCCAGGACAUCUUCUGUCUGUCAGCAGGAGACAGGAUGCAGAUCAUCAGCUGGGACAGACAGCUGGCCAGGGACAGGGAGAUGAAACGCAAGACUGGGGAAACGGGGUCGACCAGGGGGAAGAGUUCUCUGUCAGCUGCUACACAGAAAGCCUUGGAGAGGAAGAGAGGAGUCAUGAUGAGGAAAGCGGCAGAGGGGCAGAGGGGGACUGGAGCUGUGGUUGCUGGGGCAGAGGGGAACGUCGUGAAGCAGACACGUGGGUCUUUUCGACCCAACCCUCAAAGGGUCCCCAAGACCACCCAGUCCCGCAGAUCUCGGUGAAGAUGGUCUACUUAUCGGGCUAGACUGGACCGAAACCGAAUCGUGUUCAUUUUGGCACAGUGUAGCAAAACAUUUUGCACAGGAGAACAAAAACGAGCGUUUCUUAUUGGACAAGUUCAGGGUCAUAUUCAUUAGUGGAAAUGUUUUGGAAAAUGAAAACAAGCGUUUGUUAUUGGACAAAUUCAGGGUCAUAUUCAUUAGUGAAAAUGUUUUGGAAAAUGAAAACGAAGUGUUUCUUAUUGGACAAGUUCAGGUAGUCCCUCCCUUGACCCAGGUAAUGAAUACUGUUGAUACCUAAAAAGAUAUACACACACACACACCAUCCAUCUCACUUAACCCUAAAACAAUACGCCCCUAUGGGCCCUGGUCAAAAGUAGUGCACUAUAAAGGGAAUAGGCUGCCAUUUGGGAUGCAUCCAUAGUGUUUCUUGCUAACCAGUGUACAUCUGGAAAGUAUUGUAUUUUAACUUGAUUGUAUUCUACAAAGGCACAACUCACUGCAUUCAAAUGCAUCUUAGCUACUACAUACUGUAUGUGACAAUCUAUUCUUACCACAAGACCUCAGGACUUGUUUUUGGACACACUAUUCGUAAUAUGUUAGUUUUACACAUUUUAUACUAUUUAUAUUUCCUAUACCUGUUUGUGGUACAGUAUUGGGAUGGCAAUGCAACCAAAGCCCAGAAAACCCAAGUCUAUUUUUAAGGUCUGUUCUGAGUGUUCUUCUUUCCUACUGUUUUUGUUCUAAAUUAUUAAAUGUUUUUAUAAAAAAUG